rnacentral:ribozyme from 1 species
CUGAGACGAGGAUAGAUCCAAAGGUAGAUCCGAAGAAGGUUAAUAAAGGAUCUCCAACCCCUACACCAACUAAAUAUGUCCCCGUAGUACGGCCCGGUAACAUGUGGUAACCCUCUCAGUGGAUGUACAGACCCGA